AGUAACGGCGAGUGAACCGGGAAGAGCUCAAAUUUGAAAUCUGGCGUGCUCAGUGCGUCCGAGUUGUAAUCUAUAGAGGCGUUUUCCGUGCCGGACUGUGUCUAAGUCCCUUGGAACAGGGUAUCAAAGAGGGUGAUAAUCCCGUACUUGACACAAUGACCGGUGCUCUGUGAUACGUCUUCUACGAGUCGAGUUGUUUGGGAAUGCAGCUCAAAAUGGGUGGUGAGUUCCAUCUAAAGCUAAAUAUUGGCGAGAGACCGAUAGCGAACAAGUACCGUGAGGGAAAGAUGAAAAGCACUUUGGAAAGAGAGUUAAACAGUACGUGAAAUUGUUGAAAGGGAAACGAUUGAAGUCAGUCGUGACUGAGAGGCUCAGCCGGUUCUGCCGGUGUAUUCCCCUCAGUCGGGUCAACAUCAGUUUUGUUCGGUGGAUAAGGGCAGCUGGAAGGUGGCACCUCCGGGUGUGUUAUAGCCAGCUGUCGCAUACAUCGAAUGAGACUGAGGAAUGCAGCUCGCCUUUAUGGCC
rnacentral:rRNA from 1 species